rnacentral:tRNA from 1 species
GUUGAGAUGGCCGAGUUUGUCUAAGGUGUCAGAUUAAGGUUCUGGUCCGAAAGAGCGUAGGUUUAAAUCUCAUUUUUAACA